rnacentral:rRNA from 1 species
CGAGGUGAGUAAUGUCUGGGAAACUGCCUGAUGGAGGGGGAUAACUACUGGAAACGGUAGCUAAUACCGCAUAACGUCGCAAGACCAAAGAGGGGGACCUUCGGGCCUCUUGCCAUCGGAUGUGCCCAGAUGGAUUAGCUAGUAGGUGGGGUAACGGCUCACCUAGGCGACGAUCCCUAGCUGGUCUGAGAGGAUGCCAGCCACACUGGAACUGAGACACGGUCCAG